AUGUCCUCACAUCUGGCCGCCCUCCUCCAGAAGGUGUGGCCAAUUGUCUGGGUGGGGUUGCCUUCCCUGGCUUCCAGGGGUGGGGGGCACGACUUGGGGAGUCUCCCUGAGGGGACGCCCCUGCCGCCCUCACCCUCAUCAGAGGAGGUGUCCAGGUGUCAGCGGAAGCCCAGCGGGGGCCUGCACUUGGCACUGCCUGCAAGCUCUUGGGGACACGCUGAACCAGACCGUCUCCCCGAGGGCCCUGUCCCCUCUGGGUCUGCAAGGCCUGCCCACACCGGGGCCCCUCUGAAGCGCCCCCAACGUCCCCACCUGACCACUCUGCCCUGCCCUCGAAGGAAGAACGGGGCGCAGCUGAAGAUCACCCCUCCAAGGUCAGAAGUCACACGUCCCUGGGGCCCCGCACAGGCCCCCGCGCUCCCGGACCCAGAGGGAGGCUCUCUGGGGGUCUGUUUUCCCGGGAGAACUUCACCUAAUAGGUUCGGGGAAGGGUGGGCCCUAAUUUGCUGCGCCUUUACAAGCCGUGCUUCCCAAUCUCCCGAGAAUGCAGCUAAGUGGGCUUUCCUGCCGGGCCCCUUCCUUCCGUGCGCCCAUCAGAGGGGCCCGAAGGCUGCUCCCGGGCGCAGACCCACCGGAGCCGGCCAGGUGCAGGCUGCGGGGCGGGUCCCGGGCCCAGGCGGCGGCCGCGGCGUCUUACCGGCGGCCCGGAGGGCGGCCCCGCGAGGCUGUGCCCGGGGCCUGCGGGCGGCUGGUUCGCGUUCCCGGGGCGCGGCUCUCGGCGGGCGCGGCGGGGCUCCGGGGCAGGGGAGCCGAGGCCCGGGGCGGCGGCGGCCAGCAGGGCGGCCCAGGCGAGCAGCAGGCGGGCCCCGGCGGGGCGGCGGGCGCGGGCCAUGCGGGCGGCGGGCGCGGGAUGCGGGACGCGGGGCGCGGGCGCGGGGCGGGCGUGGGAGCCGCUGGGCUCCCUCCGCGCCUUAUAACGCGCUCGAAUCCCCCGCCUCGCCCGCCGCCGCUCGGCCCCGCGCCCCCUGGCGGCCCCGGUGCGCGCUCGCGGUCGCUGGGCGGGGUGUGCGCGGGGGCGGGGGGGGACGUGUCCGCCUCUGCCCGUGUGCGCGCGUGUGUGCGUGUGUGCAAACGUGUCUGCCUCUGCCCGUGUGCGUGUGUGCCCCUGUGUGCGCGUGCAAACGCGUCUGCCUCUGUGCCCGUGUGCUCGUGUGUGCGCGCGCGUGUGUGUGCCUGGGUAUGUGGGGGGGGGAGGCGCGGCCGCGAGGCGGGGCUGCGGGCCGGGUGCAGGGCGGGCGCGGGGCGGGGGUGCGGGUGCGGGUUCGAGGAGGGACCACGGGGCGAACUGGGGCGCGGGAGGCAAGGGCUGGGGGCCGGUGGCGUUGGCCGGAGCGCCCCGUCCUGCGGAGGGGCCUGCGCACCGCGUCCAGCUCUUCCCCGGAGAGCCUGGACCCCCCCUGCCCUCUUGACACCCCUUCCUCUAGGGGGAGCCGGUGGCCUCGGUCCUCUGAGCCCGGGGGCAUCCCUUCUCCCCCCGUGGGGUCUGCUCUGCCGCCUGGGGGGACCAUGAGGCUUAUCCUGGUGGCACCUGUGAGGUCCAGGUGUGGGCAACACAGGUUUAUGUGGUUUUUUAACAGAUUUUACUUAUUUAUUCAUGAGGGACUCAGAGAGGCAGAGAAACAGGCAGAGGGAGACACAGGCUCCACGCAGGGAGCCCGACGCAGGACUCGAUCCUGGGACCCCGGGGUCAUGCCCUGA
rnacentral:lncRNA from 1 species